AUGGAUCUCUCAAUGAAGAUGAUGAAUUCGACGGUGGAGAAACGAUCGGUAUCGUUUGCCAUGCAAAAUCACGGUCAGUUUCAGUUUUGGGAGGCGUGUGGUGGCCUCUGGCCGGGGUCGCAAGGAAUCGACGAAGGAAGCUGUUGGCUUCACGGUUUCUUGGAGGUUGUCGAAGAGGGAAAGGGGCAGAGGAUGUUGUGUGUGAUAAACAAAGGCGAUGCGAAUUUGAUGUGGUUGUUGCUUCUGAACGAGAGAGUUUUCCGCGUGCUUUGA